AUAUUGUAUAUGAUAAACCAAGGUAUAUGUGGUGUAAAAAACUAAAACAAAAAUUCACUCGAGGGGUGGUCUCAAGACUUGACAAGAACCUUAAUCUUGGAGUAGAAUAAUAUUAAAGCACGUUAAUCUCCAUUUCAGACCUUAACUGAGAAUUUGUUUCAACAAAUUUAAUCUGUUAAGAAAGUUUAAAGUUUAGAACUAGAGAUUGAAAUUGAAGAAAAAUAAAUGUUAUAAAUUGCUUUGAUUUUAUUUCAUAUUCUGAUUUUUUUCAUUAGGUAAAGUGAUGUAUAACCUGCAAGAAGUCAGAUCCACUUAAACCAGCACAGAAACCUGAACUGCAGCAAAUAAAGGUGUUAAUUCCUUUUGAACUGAUUAGAGUUGACCUGAUAGGAUCUUUCACAACUAGUCAAGAGUCUUUACAUCUUCACUGCAACAGACUAUUACACAAAGUGGGUUGAGGCAUUUCUUAUUCCAUCAAAGCCUCAGAUGUUGUUAAGUGCUUCCAAAAGCUUUUUCUAGAUGUGGUGCUGUGAACUCACUGACCAGGGAAAAGAAUUUGUAAACAAUGUGCAGUUUAGAAAGUACAGAUACAUUGUAUACUUAAUGCCUGUAGAUGUCAGCAACAAUCAUUUGGUACUUUAAGUAGCAAGUGUGAGAGACAGAACCAUAACGUUUUCCAUGAAUGGAAGUAAUGGAGACAUGUCCAUUGACCUGUGAAGGUAUACGUAAAUUAUGACAGUUUGGCAACAAACAACCAAACCUAUGUCAUUCCUGUAUGCUUCAAUCAUCUGUAUCAGAUUCCGUAUUGAAAAUGACAGCCUGCUGGCGGCAAGUGAUUCUGCCUUUGCGACCAUUGCAGACCAAGAUGCUUAGGCUGAUCAUAGUCUAAACUGUACGCUCUUCAGUUAGUAAAUUUCCAGUGAACACCCCUUCGAAUAAAAAAUGGUAUUGUCCUAACUGAAUGAUGGACCAGUCCAAUUUAGAAAUUUAGCAGGACAGCACAUGCAGAUCAGAGAUUCACACACUGAAAGAGAUGAAGAAUUUUAGCCAUGGACUGCAGUACGCACUGAUGGGAACAGACAGGCAGUUGGCUCCUGUGGAAUAUUUGUCCUUACAGAUUAUCUGACAUACUUUUUGACUGGAGACAGAAAUAGUGACU